AAAGUCGUAACAAGGUUUCCGUAGGUGAACCUGCGGAAGGAUCAUUACACUCAGUAGUUUCUACUGUAGAAGGGGCUGUUAGUCUGUAUAGCCAAGCUGAUGAGCAGCUGGCCCCUUUUGUAUACCCUUGUCUUUUUGUACCACCUUUCCUUCGGCGGACCAUCUGCCGACUGGACUAAUUUAUAACCUUUGUAAUCUUCAAUCAGCGUCUGAAAUCGUAAUAAUUACAACUUUCAACAACGGAUCUCUUGGUUCUG
rnacentral:misc_RNA from 1 species